rnacentral:rRNA from 1 species
CAAGAGCGUAUAUUAAAGUUGUUGCAGUUAAAAGCUCGUAGUUGGAUUUCUGGUAUAAUGCGCCUGGCCCGCGGCGGUUACGUCUGUGAGUGCCGGUGCGCGUUUACCAUCCUUCUAGAAAACGUUUCUACCCUUUACUGGGCCGGACUCGCGAUCUAGAUCUUUUACUUUGAAAAAUUAGAGUGUUUAAAGCAGGCUUUUGCUAUGAAUACAUUAGCAUGGAAUAAUAAUCUAGGACUUCGGUUCUAUUUUGUUGGUUUCUAUAACUGAAGUAAUGAUUGAUAGGGAUAGUUGGGGGUGCUAGUAUUGGCCGGCCAGAGGUGAAAUUCUUGGAUUCGGUCAAGACUAACUUAUGCGAAAAGCAUUCACCAAGGAUGUCUUCUUUAAUCGAGAACGAAAGUUGGGGGAUCGAAGAUGAUUAGAU